GACGAACACUGGCGGCGUGCUUAACACAUGCCAGUCGAACGGUGAAGCGCCUUCCUUUUUGGUGGGUGUGGAUGAGUGGCGAACGGGUGAGUAACACGUGAGUAACCUGCCCCCUUCUUCUGGAUAACCGCAUGAAAGUGUGGCUAAUACGGGAUAUUCUGGGUCUGUCGCAUGAUGGGUCUGGGAAAGAUAUUGUUUCGGUGGGGGAUGGGCUCGCGGCCUAUCAGCUUGUUGGUGGGGUGAUGGCCUACCAAGGCGGUGACGGGUAGCCGGCCUGAGAGGGUGGACGGUCACACUGGGACUGAGACACGGCCAAGACUCCGACGGGAGGCAGCAGGGGGGAAUAUGGCACAAUGGGCGCAAGGCUGAUGCAGCGACGCCGCGUGAGGGAUGGAGGCCUGCGGGUUGUGAACCUCUUUCGCCAGUGAAGCAGGCCUGCCUCGUUUGUGGGUGGGUUGACGGUAGCUGGAGAAGAAGCGCCGGCUAACUACGUG
rnacentral:rRNA from 1 species